CAGUUCAUUWAAUCAAAUGCACCAAUCCCCUUAGCAACCAUCAUGUUUUGGAAGUUGACGUGCGUAUUGCUAGCGAAUUCUGACCCAUAGUGCAGUCGUGACUGGUUCUGAAUGGGGCCUUUACAGCAGACAGCCGUUCUCCCCUCUUCCUGUGUCGGCGCACAUCCAUACAAGGCCUCAUCCGACACUUCCGCCUCUCUCCUGGAGAGCUGUAGAGACCUGGGGCAUCUUGCAGCUAAAACACCUGCGUAGCACCUGCUUCCUGCCCCUGUGGUGCCCGAGAAGUGAUAGUAGACACCAAGUGUUGACGCGACCAAGAAUUAGAAUUACAGCUGUUUACCUCGGAGUUACCCAGGAGCAGUAUUGGGUCGAAAGACUAGCAGCCAUAAAGCAGACAGAGUUGAACAACAAUGAACAAAUAAGAGAUUGCUGUAGUAUUUUUCAAGCUUAUGUCUGUAACUGUUAUGUUUCUAAACUGAACUGUCAAUGCAGUCUUUCCUAUGAAAUGUCACACAGUAGGACUGAUUCUAAAUUGAUGUAAUUGCAGCCGACACCGUUCACGGUUGUUUUCCCCUCAUUUGAUCUAUUCCUGUAAACUGACGUAAAUGAUAUAAAAUGAGAGCAGCCUUUUAUGCACAUUUAUGUGAAAUAAUAAAGUUGACAGAUGCA